GGCUAGCCGCCCCGGUAAGAUGGAGGGUCUAAGGGUUAUCCGGAUUCACUGGGUUUAAAGGGUACGUAGGCGGUCUUGUAAGUCGAUGGUGAAAUCUAGCAGCUCAACUGCUAACGUGCCAUCGAUACUGCUAGACUUGAGUAUAGUCGAGGUGGGCGGAAUUCUACAUGUAGCGGUGAAAUGCAUAGAUAUGUAGAGGAACACCGAUAGCGAAGGCAGCUCACUAGACUAUUACUGACGCUGAGGUACGAAAGCGUGGGGAGCAAACAGGAUUAGAUA
rnacentral:rRNA from 1 species